rnacentral:rRNA from 1 species
UACGGGGGGGGCAAGCGUUGUUCGGAAUCACUGGGCGUAAAGGGCGCGUAGGCGGGAUGGCAAGUCGGUCGUGAAAUCCUUCGGCUCAACCGAAGAACGUCGGCCGAUACUGCCGUUCUUGAGGGAUGCAGAGGAGAUUGGAAUUCCCGGUGUAGCGGUGAAAUGUGUAGAGAUCGGGAGGAACACCGGUGGCGAAGGCGGGUCUCUGGGCAUCUCCUGACGCUGAGGCGCGAAAGCGUGGGGAGCAAACGGG